UUCACCCCCAUAGAUCGACAUGCCCUUCGGGCUGGUUCGUACAUGUUCGGUUUUUUUUUUUUUUAUCUGUACGUUCAAAACAAACAUUGCAAUAUUGAUCAAAAAAUUGUUGACUAAUGUUAUUUUAUAUUUUUUUAAGAGUAAAACACAUGUACACAAAUAUUUCCUUGUUACUAAUUAUGAGAUUUUCAGGUAAGUUAUUGAGCUAUUUCUGUUUGAUUUGUUAGGAGAUUAGUUUUGUCCGUUUACAAGUUAACAUUGCUUGUGUUAUUCUUGGCAAGUAAUCAUUUCUUAUAUAAAUUUUUGUACACUAUAGGCUUAUCUUUUUAAAUUUUAGGUAGCACAACGUAUAAAAUCAUAAGAAAUGUUUUCUGGUGGUCUGUAGCAGUUAACCGCAUUUAAGUAAAAAUAUUUUAAAAUAAUUGUUACCAGAGCUGAAUUACAUUGAGGCUUGUGGAGAACAGCUUUUUUUUAUCUACUCUUUGGCUGGCCAAUGUAAAUAAGCAAUGAUUUUGUGAAUGCAGCGAGAGAGUUUUUUUGAUGUAUUUUAAAAUCACUGAUAAUAUUUAUUGAUGUAUUUUAAAAUCACUGAUAAUAUUUAUUGAUGUAUUUUAAAAUCACUGAUAAUAUUUGUUUUGUGGCUGGAAGAUGGUAACCAUGGUGACUUGUGAAUUUUUAUGAAGAUUAAUAAAAAGCAGUAAAAAUUA